CCUACGGGAUGCAGCAGUGAGGAAUAUUGAUCAAUGGGCGGGAGCCUGAACCAGCCAAGCCGCGUGAGGGAAGAAGGUACAGCGUAUCGUAAACCUCUUUUGUCAGGGAACAAAGGCGGGGACUAGUCCCCGGAUGAGGGUACCUUAAGAAAAAGCAUCGGCUAACUCCGUGCCAGCAGCCGCGGUAAUACGGAGGAUGCGAGCGUUAUCCGGAUUUAUUGGGUUUAAAGGGUGCGCAGGCGGCCUGUUAAGUCAGCGGGAAAAGCCCGGGGUUCAACCCCGGCGAGCCGUUGAAACUGGCGGGCUGGAGUUGGAGAGAAGUACGCGGAAUGCGCGGUGUAGCGGUGAAAUGCUUAGAUAUCGCGCAGAACCCCGAUUGCGAAGGCAGCGUACCGGCUCCACACUGACGCUGAGGCACGAAAGCGUGGGUAUCGAACAGGAUUAGAUACCCGAGUAGUC
rnacentral:rRNA from 1 species